ACCUGAUGGUGUGGGCAUUGACAUAGCAGAUCCCUAAAGUGUUCCCACAUCUCAAAAAAUAGUUCCCCACCCAUCUGUAAGAAACUAGUGAUGGCUCUCCUAAGCU